CUUAUCAUCUACAAUCAGACUGAAAUGAAACUUCGUUUUCGAAAGUUGAGAAGGAAUUCCAGCCCAUGUUUAUUUCAAUCGUGAAUUAUCAAACAUAAUAAAUUUCAUGUGGUCGACUCGAGCAUUCAUUUGAAUGGCGCAAGCGUUGUCUUCAUCGAUUCAAAAUAUAGAGAUGGCCAUGACCUACGAUUCAUCAGUUUUCUCCAGGUUUCUAACCUCACUAUUUUUUACGCGUUCAAUUUUCACUGUCACAAUUAUAUAGUGCAUUCAAUAAUUACGUUUGUUAUCUGUUCAGUGAACAAAUGUUUUUAAUCAAGAGGCUUAGGCAACCAUGAAUGUGAAACCUCUCAAUGAGGAAGCAGUACAAAGUACACAACUAAACGUUCAAACACAAUUAUCCCGCAUAUCGUACUGGUAUGUCCAUCUUACAAAACAUUCCACAACGCGCCGACUUAGACCUUAGACUAGCUGACUAGCUCGUGUCGAUGGCGAAUUACCAUUGAGAAAAAACAAAACAUAAAAACCCUGACAGUCCACCGGCCGGCUAGACAUCGAAAGUUGAAAUUCAAACAUUAAGUAAGCGCGGGCCGGUUUUUAGUAGUUGCCGCCAAGGUUGUUGUCCGUUUCUUCGGCUGUUUACCUGGUUCAGGCGUGCAAGAAGAAUACAAAAAUGGUAGUAGUGCCUGUAGUACCGGAGUUGUGAGACUGCAAGACAUGCCUCCAUAGUGUGAACGGUGAAGUGAAUGUUGCCGCGUUCAGAUAGAAAAUUGUGUGCAUUUUUUCGUGUAAGUGUGGAAUUGGCGGGAUUUUGUGUUACUGGUAUGAGUCGGGACAGAUUAAAUUGUAAGUAAUCACAUGCUAUAUUUUUUGUAAUAGUUUACAUGUGUUAAACUCGAAGCUUAAACCUAUACAGGUUAUAUUUUUUGUUUACAUCAUAAGAUUCUGGGAUAAGUGAAACGUAAUGUGCAAUGACCUCGGUGUACCUGCAAGAUAUUGCACUCGGUAGGUUUUUUAUAUAUUUGAACAUGAGAUCUGACCGUCUGUUUCGAUUAAUUAAUUGAUUAUAAAUACAACCAGUU